rfam:Triticum aestivum genome assembly, contig: Triticum_aestivum_CS42_TGACv1_scaffold_321112_4BL
AAAGUACUCCCUCCGUCCCAAAAUUCUUGUCUUAGAUUUGUCUAGAUACGGAUGUAUCAAGUCACAUUUUAGUAUUAGAUACAUCCAUAUCUAGACAAAUCUAAGACAAGAAAUUUGGGACAGAGGGACUAGAUG